CGCAUCUGUGCAUGCAGCAUAUCAAUAAGCGGAGGAAAAGAAACUAACAAGGAUUCCCUUAGUAACGGCGAGUGAAGCGGGAAGAGCUCAAAUUUGAAAUCUUCAAGGUUUUACCUUGACGAAUUGUAGUUUAAAGAAGUGUUUUCUGAUUGAAGUUUUGGUAAAAGUUCUUUGGAAUAGGACAUCAUAGAGGGUGAGAAUCCCGUAUUUGACCAUUAUUUUCAGCUGUGUGAUACACUUUCAAAGAGUCGGAUUGUUUGGGAAUGCAGUCCAAAAUGGGUGGUAAAUUUCAUCUAAAGCUAAAUAUUGGCGAGAGACCGAUAGCGAACAAGUACCGUGAGGGAAAGAUGAAAAGAACUUUGAAAAGAGAGUUAAACAGUACGUGAAAUUGUCAAAAGGGAAGCGUUUGACACCAGUGUUGUUUUCUCGAAAAUCAAUUAAAAAGAGUUUAGAUUUUGUUGUGUAUUGACCUUAACAGCUUGCAUUUCAAUUUUCUUGCUUUUUUUAAUGCACUUUUCGUUUAACAAGUCAACAUCAGUUUCUUUUGUUGUAAAAAGGUCAUUGGAAGGUGGCUUUCUUUUCGGAGAAAGUGUUUAUAGCCUUUGACUCCUGCAAUCGGAGAGACUGAGGUCUGCAGCGUAGAUCCUUCGGGGUUAGAUACAUUUGUGCUAAGUUAUAGCUUUUUAUAGACAACUUGUUGACUAUGAUUAGUCUUGUAGCUUACUCGCUUAUGCUAUUUUACCUACGCUUAGGAUGUUGACGCGCGUGUGUGCGUGAUCUAUACAUGACUCUGCGCAUAUCAAUAAGCGGAGGAAAAGGCUGCCGAACUGAACGACCGUUACCUACGCUUAGGAUGUUGAGGAUGUAGCACAUCAUACACGCAUGACACACUGCAUAUCAAUAAGCGGAGGAAAAGACAUACCUACGCUUAGGAUGUUGACACACGCGCGUGCUCGACUCUAUACAUGACUCUGUGCAUAUCAAUAAGCGGAGGAAAAGCGCAUUAAAGAUCCAGAUACCUACGCUUAGGAUGUUGACGAGACUGUCGAUCUCAUCUAUACAUGACUCUGUGCAUAUCAAUAAGCGGAGGAAAAGGCAUAUCAAUACCUACGCUUAGGAUGUUGAUGUGAUACUGCGAGCA
rnacentral:rRNA from 1 species